rnacentral:tRNA from 1 species
AAAUAAGAAACAAAAAAAAUUGUAUUUAGUUUCGACCUAAAAUUUUGGCAUUAAGCCCUUAUUUU